GAUGAACGCUGGCGGCGUGCCUAAUACAUGCAAGUCGAGCGAACAGACGAGGAGCUUGCUCCUCUGACGUUAGCGGCGGACGGGUGAGUAACACGUGGAUAACCUACCUAUAAGACUGGGAUAACUUCGGGAAACCGGAGCUAAUACCGGAUAAUAUAUUGAACCGCAUGGUUCAAUAGUGAAAGACGGUUUUGCUGUCACUUAUAGAUGGAUCCGCGCCGCAUUAGCUAGUUGGUAAGGUAACGGCUUACCAAGGCAACGAUGCGUAGCCGACCUGAGAGGGUGAUCGGCCACACUGGAACUGAGCCAUGGUCCAGACUCCUAAGGGAGGCAGCAGUAGGGAAUCUUACGCAAUGGGCGAAAGCCUGACGGAGCAACGCCGCGUGAGUGAUGAAGGUCUUCGGAUCGUAAAACUCUGUUAUUAGGGAAGAACAAAUGUGUAAGUAACUAUGCACGUCUUGACGGUACCUAAUCAGAAAGCCACGGCUAACUACGUG
rnacentral:rRNA from 1 species